rnacentral:rRNA from 1 species
GACGAACGCUGGCGGCGUGCCUAAUACAUGCAAGUAGAACGCUGAAGGAGGGGUUUGCUUCUCUGGCUGAGUUGCGCACGGGUGAGUAACGCGUAAGUAACCUGCCUGGUAGCGGGGGAUAUCUAUUGGAAACGAUAGCUAAUACCGCAUAAGAGUAGAUGUUGCAUGACAUUUGCUUAAACGCUGCAAUUGCAUUACUACCAGAUGGACCUGCGUUGUUUUAGCUAGUUUGUGGGGUAACGGCUUACCAAGGCGACGAUACUUAGCCGACCUGAGAGGGUGAUCGGCCACACUGGGACUGGGACACGGCCCAGGCUCCUACGGGAGGGAGCAGUAGGGAAUCUUCGGCAAUGGACGGAAAUCUGGCCGAGCAACGCCGCGUGGGUGAAGAAGGUUCUCGGGUCGUAAAGCUCUGUUGUAAGGGAAGAACGAGUGGUAGAGUGGAAAGUUCACGCUGUGACGGUAUCUUACCAAAAAGGAACGGCUAACUACGUG